rnacentral:rRNA from 1 species
AGAUUGAACGCUGGCGGCAUGCCUUACACAUGCAAGUCGAACGGUAACGCGGGGCAACCUGGCGACGAGUGGCGAACGGGUGAGUAAUGCAUCGGAACGUGCCCAGAAGUGGGGGAUAGCUCGGCGAAAGCCGGAUUAAUACCGCAUACGACCUACGGGUGAAAGCGGGGGAUCGCAAGACCUCGCGCUAUUGGAGCGGCCGAUGUCAGAUUAGGUUGUUGGUGGGUAAAAGCCUACCAAGCCGACGAUCUGUAGCUGGUCUGAGAGGACGACCAGCCACACUGGGACUGAGACACGGCCCAGACUCCUACGGGAGGCAGCAGUGGGAAUUUGGACAAUGGGGCAACCCUGAUCCAGCCAUGCCGCGUGCGGAAGAAGGCCUUCGGGUUGUAAACCGCUUUGUCGAGGAAGAACGCUACCGGUUAAUACCGUCGGUAAGUGACGUACCGUAGAAGAAUAAGCACCGCUAACUACGUG